UUCGAAUGUGUGGCAAGCUUUGGAAUUCUUCUGCUGCUGGAGCGGCAAAUCGAUUUUCGUGCGACCUAAAUCGACAAGCGACGAUAUUGUGGCAGCAACCAAAAAUCCUACAUACUUACAUACUAUAUAUGUAUAUGUACAUAUGCAUCUGUAUGUGUUGGAAAAUAUUGCAUUCAAAUUCAGUUAGACAAGUGCUGAAAUUGUAAGAUGAUAAAAAGGCGCAAGUGUUGACAACAUAAAAAAACAACAAUGUGUUAUGCUUGAUUUUUUGUAUGUACCAGUAAUACAACAGCAGUAAACAAAUGCAGACGACAGUAGAGUUGGCUUAACACAAAUUUGCUGAGAACCAAAUUUUCGGGAUUGCGUAAUUAUCUAUGCAAUUAAAGGCUGUUUGCCGCCGACAAGUAAAUCGCGAAACCAAAAUAUAAAAUAAAAUACAGGCGUUACAAACAGCGCGACGGUCAACGUGCUUUUCCUCACAUAGCAAGAAUCACGAUUUCUAAGGCAACAUCUAAUAAAACAAUAACAGCCGCUAUAAAUAAUUGCAACAGCGACAACAAUAUUCAGAAGAAUAGUUGAAAUUAAGAAAUAGUG